UCCUUAGGACGUGCGUCUCCUAUUGGUGAAACUAUUCUUAUGAAGUGCGUCUCCUGUUGGUGAAAUAAACUUAGGAGGAAAUUCAUCUCCUAUGGGUGAAACUAAAACAAACUUAGGAGGAAAUGCAUCUCCUAUGGUUGAAACUAAACUUAGGAAGUGUGUCUCCUGUUAUAACCUUCUGCCUUCCGAUGGGGUUACUGAUUUCAAAAUCUGAAGUAUUAGACUCAAAAGUAUUCCUCUCGUUAUACAGGUGGGCGCCUGACAUGAAAUGUAAAGACUGAAAAGUAUUCCUCUCGUUAUACAGGUGGGCGCCUAAUAUGAAAUGUAAAGACUGAAAAAUAUUCUUCUCGUUAUUCAGGUGGGCGCCUGCCAUAUGAAAUGAACAGACAAAAAAGUAUUCCUCUCGUUAUUCAGGUGGGCGCCUAUCUUCAACAACAACUUUGAAAAUAAAAUCCUAUUCGAGGGCGGAUGAACCCAACAUAUCCUAUUUGAGGGCGGAUGAACCCAACAUAUCCUAUUCGAGGGCGGAUGAACCCGACAUAUCCUAUUUGAGGGCGGAUGAACC
rnacentral:lncRNA from 1 species